rnacentral:rRNA from 1 species
GAUGAACGCUAGCGGCAGGCCUAACACAUGCAAGUCGAGGGGUAGAAGGAGCUUGCUCCUUUGAGACCGGCGCACGGGUGCGUAACGCGUAUGCAAUCUACCUUGUACAGGGGAAUAGCCCAGAGAAAUUUGGAUUAAUGCCCCAUAGUAUAUAACCUUCGCAUGUUGGUUAUAUUAAAGUUCCAACGGUACAAGAUGAGCAUGCGUCCCAUUAGUUAGUUGGUAAGGUAACGGCUUACCAAGACGAUGAUGGGUAGGGGUCCUGAGAGGGAGAUCCCCCACACUGGUACUGAGGCACGGACCAGACUCCUACGGGAGGCAGCAGUGAGGAAUAUUGGUCAAUGGUCGCAAGACUGAACCAGCCAUGCCGCGUGCAGGAAGACGGUCCUAUGGAUUGUAAACUGCUUUUAUACAGGAAGAAACCCUCACACGUGUGGGAGCUUGACGGUACUGUAGGAAUAAGGAUCGGCUAACUCCGUG